rnacentral:lncRNA from 1 species
GGGGGGGACUAGGAUUAAAUUUGAAAAAAAUAGGCAGGACAGGAGUUCUGAGUAAAAAAAAAAAGCAGGAUGACAAUUUAUGAAAAAAAGUCAGGACAAACUAAUAAUAAAAAAGGCAGGACCGAAUAGAGGGAAAAAUAAAAAGGCAGGACAGAGAUUACAACUUAAAAAAAAGGCAGGACAAAAUUUUUCAUCCUAGCCCCCCCCCC